AGCCGUGGGUCCCGGACCUCCAGGGUUCUGAGAAAGAAGUGCUCCCGAGAGCUGCCUGCAGAGGUGAUAGGAUGGUGCGUGAGAAUGAGGAGCAGAAACCCCAGCAGGAAGAUGCUGAGCAAGGAGAACCAUAUGAGACAUUAUCAGGAAGAACCAAAGGGACUGUUUCCAGGAGUUGUGCACUCCGAGAAAAAGUGAAAGCCUCUGAGACUCAGCAGAGGCCAGAGGAGAACUUCA